UCAGUGAAAUCGAGUAGGGCGGGACACGUGAUAUCCUGUCUGAAUAUGGGGGGACCAUCCUCCAAGGCUAAAUACUACUGACUGACCGAUAGUGAACCAGUACCGUGAGGGAAAGGCGAAAAGAACCCCUGUGAGGGGAGUGAAAUAGAACCUGAAACCGUGUACGUACAAGCAGUAGGAGCAGGCUUUGUCCUGUGACUGCGUACCUUUUGUAUAAUGGGUCAGCGACUUAUAUUCAGUGGCAAGGUUAACCAUCUAGGGGAGCCGUAGGGAAACCGAGUCUUAACUGGGCGUUCAGUCUCUGGAUAUAGACCCGAAACCAGGUGAUCUAGCCAUGGGCAGGUUGAAGGUUGAGUAACAUCAACUGGAGGACCGAACCGACUAAUGUUGAAAAAUUAGCGGAUGACUUGUGGCUAGGGGUGAAAGGCCAAUCAAACCUGGAGAUAGCUGGUUCUCCCCGAAAGCUAUUUAGGUAGCGCCUCGGACGAAUACUACUGGGGGUAGAGCACUGUUAAGGCUAGGGGGUCAUCCCGACUUACCAACCCUUUGCAAACUCCGAAUACCAGUAAGUACUAUCCGGGAGACACACGGCGGGUGCUAACGUCCGUCGUGGAGAGGGAAACAACCCAGACCGCCAGCUAAGGUCCCAAAUUACUACUAAGUGGGAAACGAUGUGGGAAGGCUCAGACAGCCAGGAUGUUGGCUUAGAAGCAGCCAUCAUUUAAAGAAAGCGUAAUAGCUCACUGGUCGAGUCGGCCUGCGCGGAAGAUGUAACGGGGCUAAGUA
rnacentral:rRNA from 1 species